GACGAACGCUGGCGGCGUGCUUAACACAUGCAAGUCGAACGGAAAGGCCCUGCUUUUGUGGGGUGCUCGAGUGGCGAACGGGUGAGUAACACGUGAGUAACCUGCCCUUGACUUUGGGAUAACUUCAGGAAACUGGGGCUAAUACCGGAUAGGAGCUCCUGCUGCAUGGUGGGGGUUGGAAAGUUUCGGCGGUUGGGGAUGGACUCGCGGCUUAUCAGCUUGUUGGUGGGGUAGUGGCUUACCAAGGCUUUGACGGGUAGCCGGCCUGGGAGGGUGACCGGCCACAUUGGGACUGAGAUACGGCCCAGACUCCUACGGGAGGCAGCAGUGGGGAAUAUUGCACAAUGGGCGGAAGCCUGAUGCAGCAACGCCGCAUGCGGGAUGACGGCCUUCGGGUUGUAAACCGCUUUCGCCUGUGACGAAGCGUGAGUGACGGUAAUGGGUAAAGAAGCACCGGCUAACUACGUG
rnacentral:rRNA from 1 species